ACAGGACCUGAAUACAAGAUGAGUAUGAUCAUGGCAUCUUUUCUCUCCGCACCUCUGCUGUUGCUGGUUCCUGGGAUCCUGACUGAAAGUCAUGUAGAAUAUAUAUAUUUACUUUACGUCUUUGUAAUGUCAUCUCUAUCACCUAUACACUACAGUAUAGUUGACAUUGUAAAUGACAAUUUAAACAGAGUCUUCCAUUGAGUUGGUGGUAGUCAACAACAUCUCAAACACACCCAAUAAGACCUACAGUACUAAUGUCGCAUUCAGAGGUGUCCUUAUCGGUGCCAUGAGAAGACUGCAGGAGACCACUGCAGGAUUCAAUUUCACCUACACAGAGGACUGCAACUAUGGUCCCUUCCUGGUGAGUGUGAAUAAUGUAGCUGGGAACAAUAAUGAGAACAAUUUCUGGCGAGAUUCCUGUUCAAACUGGGGGUAAUGGUAAACCAACUACCAUUGACCUGAUGUGGGUAUUGGCUGUUACAUCCCUGAACCAAAUGACCGCAUCAUCCUAAAAUUUACUGUGUUCAUCUUGGGCUCGCACUCCGUGAGUGGCAACGGUCAGAAAUUCUGGGAAGCUGACAGAAUUUCACCUAUACAGAGGACCCCAACUAUGGCCCCUUCCUGGUGAAUGUGAAUGGUGUGGCUGGGAACAAUACUGAGAACUUUCUGGGAGAUCCUUGUAUAGACUGGGAGGAAUGGGACCACGAUCAGACCUGAUGUCGGUACUGGUUGUUACAUCCCAGAAUGAAAUGACCACAUCAUCCUGAGAUUUACAAGGUUUACCCGGACAUCAUAGUAAAUACGCUGCAAAGGAAUGUGCUCCUUGUUCUUUCUUGCUGAAGACUAAGAAGAAUGAAGAUUGAAGAUGAGGAUGUAGAAAAUGAAAACACCUCUUUGAAGGCAGUUAAACAGAUGUGGAACUGCUAGAAAUAACAGCGUAACUGACGUUGCCAUGACAAAGACCAAAGCCGGCGGGAGUACCGUUGAGGAUACUGGUGUCUCUCUAUCACAGGUGAGCUCGAUGAGUUGAAACAGGACAAUGCCAAGAUUACAGCAAUCUGUAAGUCAUUGAAAGAGGACAUCAGUGCUGUGCUUGAAUCCAUGAUAACAAUGACGGAUAAAUCAUCUCAAGGGAUAAUCAAGGCGGAAUAAUGGUUGUGGACGGAAUUGCAAAAUCUCCAUGAGACCGGGACAGAGGCUGAGGACAAAGUGAGCGAAAUGAUCUCUGAUAAAUUGAAGAUGGACCACAGGAAGAUUGAGGUGGAGCGUGCCCAUUGGACUGAAAAACCCACCACUGGCCCGGGUGACAAGCCCAGGCCAAUAGUGGUCAAGUUCCUGAGGUUCAAGGACAAGGUAGCUGUUCUGGAGAGAGCCAAGAACUUGAAAGGGAAGUAUAUCAUCCUCAACGAGGACUAUCCUGAAGCUGUGUGCCAGAAGACGAAAGAAUCCCAGCCAUGAAAGCAGCCAGAGCGUGUGGGGACAUUGCUUACAUCCGCUAUGACAGGCUCAUUGUCCACCCUCCCUCCCAGAAGCCUGGAAGGGAUGAGAGAGCAAAGCCUAUGGGUUCGUAGCUUCAACCCUGCAGCACACA